rnacentral:rRNA from 1 species
GACGAACGCUGGCGGCGUGCUUAACACAUGCGAGUCGAACGGAAAGGCCCUGCUUUUGUGGGGUGCUCGAGUGGCGAACGGGUGAGUAACACGUGAGUAACCUGCCCUUGACUUUGGGAUAACUUCAGGAAACUGGGGCUAAUACCGGAUAGGAGCUCCUGCUGCAUGGUGGGGGUUGGAAAGUUUCGGCGGUUGGGGAUGGACUCGCGGCUUAUCAGCUUGUUGGUGGGGUAGUGGCUUACCAAGGCUUUGACGGGUAGCCGGCCUGGGAGGGUGACCGGCCACAUUGGGACUGCGAUACGGCCCAGACUCCUACGGGAGGCAGCAGUGGGGAAUAUUGCACAAUGGGCGGAAGCCUGAUGCAGCAACGCCGCGUGCGGGAUGACGGCCUUCGGGUUGUAAACCGCUUUCGCCUGUGACGAAGCGUGAGUGACGGUAAUGGGUAAAGAAGCACCGGCUAACUACGUG